rnacentral:rRNA from 1 species
AUUGAACGCUGGCGGCAUGCUUUACACAUGCGAGUUGAACGGCAGCGCGGGCUUCGGCCUGGCGGCGAGUGGCGAACGGGUGAGUAAUGCAUCGGAACGUGCCCAGUAGUGGGGGAUAGCCCGGCGAAAGCCGGAUUAAUACCGCAUACGACCUGAGGGUGAAAGCGGGGGACCGAAAGGCCUCGCGCUAUUGGAGCGGCCGAUGUCGGAUUAGCUAGUUGGUGGGGUAAAGGCUUACCAAGGCGACGAUCCGUAGCUGGUCUGAGAGGACGACCAGCCACACUGGGACUGAGACACGGCCCAGACUCCUACGGGAGGCAGCAGUGGGGAAUUUUGGACAAUGGGGGCAACCCUGAUCCAGCCAUGCCGCGUGCGGGAAGAAGGCCUUCGGGUUGUAAACCGCUUUUGUUCGGGAAGAAAUCCUCUGGGCUAAUACCCCGGGGGGAUGACGGUACCGGAAGAAUAAGCACCGGCUAACUACGUG